GCCCGCGUAGCUCAGUUAGGUAGAGCGUUUCCUUGGUAAGGAAGAGGUCUCCGGUUCGAGUCCGGUCGCGGGCU
rnacentral:tRNA from 1 species